ACGUCUAGAGAGACUGCCGGUGAUAAACCGGAGGAAGGUGGGGAGUGACGUCAAAUCAUCAUGCCCCUUAUGACCUGGGCUACACACGUACUACAAUGGCGCAUACAACGAGCUGCGAGAUGGUGACAUCAAGCGAAUCUCUUAAAAUGCGUCUCAGUUCAGAUUGGAGUCUGCAACUCGACUCCAUGAAGUCGGAAUCGCUAGUAAUCGCGGAUCAGCAUGCCGCGGUGAAUACGUUCUCGGGGUUU
rnacentral:rRNA from 1 species